rnacentral:rRNA from 1 species
GACGAACGCUGGCGGCGUGCCUAAUACAUGCAAGUAGAACGCAGUUGCGAACGGGUGAGUAACGCGUAGGUAACUGCCUCAUCGCGGGGGAUAACUAUUGGAAACGAUAGCUAAUACAGCAUACUGUGAGAUGGACCUGCGUUGUAUUAGCUUGUUGGUGAGGUAAAGGCUCACCAAGGCGACGAUACAUAGCCGACCUGAGAGGGGGGUCGGCCACACAGGGACCGGGACACUGCCCAGACUCCUCCGGGGGGCAGCAGUAGGGAAUCUUCGGGAAUGGACGGAAGGCUGACCGAGCAACUCCGCGUGAGUGGAGAGGGUUUUCGGGUCGUAAAGCUCUGUUGUUUGAGGAGCGGUAGCUAACCAGAAAGGGACGGCUAACUACGUGCCAGCAGCCGCGGUAAUUC